ACAACACGUUAAGACACGGGUUUCAGUACGAUCACCAAAGUUAAGCAACUUCGAUCUUGGUCAGUACCUAGAUGGGUAACCGCUUGGGAAUGCCAUGUGUUGUAAG